rnacentral:rRNA from 1 species
GACGAACGCUGGCGGCGUGCUUAACACAUGCAAGUCGAACGAAGUGGCGAACGGGUUAGUAACGCGUAAUCAACCUGCCCUUCAGAGGGGGAUAACAGUUGGAAACGACUGCUAAUACCGCAUACUUAAGGAGGGGAUUGCGUCUGAUUAGCUAGUUGGAGGGGUAACGGCCGACCAAGGCGUUGAUCAGUAGCCGGUCUGAGGGGAUGAACGGCCACAUUGGGACUGAGACACGGGCCAGACUCCUACGGGAGGCAGCAGUGGGGAAUCUUCCGCAAUGGACGGAAGUCUGACGGAGCAACGCCGCGGGAGUGAUGACGGCCUUCGGGUUGUAAAGCUCUGUUAAUCGGGACGCGGUACCGGAAUAGAAAGCAACGGCUAACUACGUGCCAGCAGCCGCGGUAAUUC